AUUGAACGCUGGCGGCAUGCUUUACACAUGCAAGUCGAACGGUAACAGGCCUUCGGGUGCUGACGAGUGGCGAACGGGUGAGUAAUGCAUCGGAACGUGCCCAGAGGUGGGGGAUAACGCAGCGAAAGCUGUGCUAAUACCGCAUGUGAUCUGAGGAUGAAAGCGGGGGACCAGGCAGCAAUGUUUGGCCUCGCGCCUUUGGAGCGGCCGAUGUCAGAUUAGGUAGUUGGUGGGGUAAAGGCCUACCAAGCCGACGAUCUGUAGCUGGUCUGAGAGGACGAGCAGGGAGAGUGGAAUUGAGAGGCGGGGCAGAUUCCGAUGGGAGGCAGAAGGGGGGAAGAAGGGACAAGGGGGGCAAGCAUGACCCGGCAAUAGUGCGUAAGUGAAGAAGGCCUUAGGAUGGUAAAGGUGGGUUGGUGGGAAAGAAAAGCAGCAGGGGAAUACCGCGCGGUGAGGACGGGAAAAAAAGAAGAAGCAACGGAUAACUUAGUG
rnacentral:rRNA from 1 species